ACCUUCUGUAUAAUGCACAAUGCUAAAACUGCAGAAACUAGGAUCACAUCUUGGUUUUUGUGAAAAUGCCAGCAGAGCACACACAAGAAGAAAAGUAACUGAACUAGACUGUAAAGACUGGAGUGGACCACCUUCUAAUGUCCAGUGUCCUUUGCUUAAGAUUUGGUGUAAAAAAA
ensembl:snoRNA